rnacentral:rRNA from 1 species
GAUGAACGCUGGCGGCGUGCCUAAUACAUGCAAGUCGAGCGAACAGACGAGGAGCUUGCUCCUCUGACGUUAGCGGCGGACGGGUGAGUAACACGUGGAUAACCUACCUAUAAGACUGGGAUAACUUCGGGAAACCGGAGCUAAUACCGGAUAAUAUAUUGAACCGCAUGGUUCAAUAGUGAAAGACGGUUUUGCUGUCACUUAUAGAUGGAUCCGCGCCGCAUUAGCUAGUUGGUAAGGUAACGGCUUACCAAGGCAACGAUGCGUAGCCGACCUGAGAGGGUGGUCGGCCACACUGGAACUGAGACACGGUCCAGACUCCUACGGGAGGCAGCAGUAGGGAAUCUUCCGCAAUGGGCGAAAACUUGACGGAGCAACGCCGCGUGAGUGAUGAAGGUCUUCGGAUCGUAAAACUCUGUUAUUAGGGAAGAACAAAUGUGGAAGUAACUAUGCACGUCUUGACGGUACCUAAUCAGAAAGCCACGGCUAACUACGUG